rnacentral:rRNA from 1 species
GGCAUCAUGAUACUACAGGGCUUGAGUACGGGAGGGGAGAGUGGAACUUCUGGUGGAGCGGUGAAAUGCGUAGAUAUCAGAAGGAACGCCGGCGGCGAAAGCGACUCUCUGGUCCGAAACUGACGCUGAGUGUGCGAAAGCUAGGGGAGCAAACGGGAUUAGAUACCCCGGUAGUCCUAGCCGUAAACGAUGGGCACUAAGUAGAGGGGUUUU